rnacentral:rRNA from 1 species
UGCUUCUUGUCUCAUAGUAAGAAGUAAUUCCUGCCCAGUGAUUUACAUUCAACGGCCGCGGUAUCCUAACCGUGCAAAGGUAGCAUAAUCACUUGCCCAUUAAUUGUGGGCUAGAAUGAAAGGACUAACGAAAUAAAAACUGUCUCUAUAAGCCGCAUAAAAAUUAAUCUCUAACUGAAGAGUGUUAGAUUACGUCGAAGGACAAGAAGACCCUAUAGAGCUUCAUCUUAAUGAAGACUAAAACUUCACUAAAAUUCGGUUGGGGCGACCGGGGAAAAUCAAUCAUCCCUAAUAAAUAGAUAAGUAAAUCUAAACACUGACCCUUAACAAAGAUCACCAGAAUAAGCUACCUUAGGGAUAACAGGCUAAUCCCGUUAAAGAGUCCUUAUCAAUAACGGGGGUUGGCACCUCGAUGUUGGCUUAGGGAAUCUAUGUGGCGCAAAAGUCACAUAAAGAUGGUUUGUUCAA